rnacentral:rRNA from 1 species
AUUGAACGCUGGCGGCAUGCCUUACACAUGCAAGUCGAACGGUAACGCGGGGCAAACUGGCGACGAGUGGCGAACGGGUGAGUAAUAUAUCGGUACGUGCCCAGUAGCGGGGGAUAGCCCGGCGAAAGCCGGGUUAAUACCGCAUGAGACAUGAGGGUGACAGAGGGGGAUGGCAAGACCUCGUGCUAUUGGAGCGGCCGAUAUCAGAUUAGCUAGUUGGUGCGGUAAAGUGCUACCAAGGGAACGAUCGGUAGGUGGUCUGAGAGGACGACCAGCCACACUGGGACUGAGACACGGCCCAGACUCUUACGGGAGGCAGCAGUGGGGAAUUUUGGGCAAUGGGCGCAAGCCUGAUCCAGCAAUGCCGCGGGCAGGAAGAAGGCCUUCUGGUUGUAAACUGCUUUUGUCAGGGAAGAAGUCUUCUGGGUUAAUACCUCGGGAGGAUGACGGUACCUGAAGAAUGAGCACCGGCUAACUACGUGCCAGCCGCCGCGGUAAUAC